GGAAGCAUGGCAGAGUCAGGGUUAUUGCGGUGAUUUGCUAGGUCACUAAGCGCGCAAGCGCUUCGUAGGUUCGAAUCCUACUGCUUCCG
rnacentral:tRNA from 1 species